ACUAUUUUGACAGAAUUUAAUGUAUUGAAUUUAGAAUUCAUUUAUAAAUAUUUAUAUUAUAUAUUUAAAUAGUA
rnacentral:tRNA from 1 species